GUGUGGCAUAGUGGUUAAAGUGUCAGACUAGAACUCUGAGAGGCGAGGGUUCAAAUCUCCUGUCGGCUAUA